UACAGAGGUCUCAAGCGUUGUUCGGAUUCAUUGGGCGUAAAGGGUGCGUAGGUGGUAGCGCAAGUCUGGUGUGAAAUCUCGGAGCCCAACUCCGAAACUGCAUCAGAUACUGCAUUACUUGAGGACUGUAGAGGAGAGUGGAAUUCACGGUGUAGCAGUGAAAUGCGUAGAUAUCGUGAGGAAGACCAGUGGCGAAGGCGACUCUCUGGGCAGUUCCUGACACUGAGGCACGAAGGCCAGGGGAGCAAACGGG
rnacentral:rRNA from 1 species